rnacentral:rRNA from 1 species
AAGAAGCGAAGCGGUGACGUGGAGCAAACCUCAGAAAGCCAAUCUCAGUUCGGAUUGUAGGCUGCAACUCGCCUACAUGAAGUUGGAAUCGCUAGUAAUCGCGAAUCAGAAUGUCGCGGUGAAUACGUUCCCGGGUCUUGUACACACCGCCCGUCACACCACGAGAGUUUACAACACCCGAAGUCAGUGGCCUAACCGCAAGGAAGGAGCUGCCUAAGGUGGGGUAGAUGAUUGGGGUGAAGUCGUAACAAGGUAGC